rnacentral:rRNA from 1 species
CAGUUAAAAAGCUCGUAGUUGGAUUUCGGAGUGGGCCAGUUGGUCCGCCGCAAGGUGUGUUACUGACUGGUCUGCUCUUCUUCGCAAAGACUGCGUGUGCUCUUUGUUGAGUGUGCGUAGGAUUUACGACGUUUACUUUGAAAAAAUUAGAGUGUUCAAAGCAGGCUAUUGCUUGAAUACAUGUGCAUGGAAUAAUGGAAUAGGACUUUGGUCCCAUUUUGUUGGUUUCUAGGACCGAAGUAAUGAUUAAGAGGGACAAUUGGGGGCAUCCGUAUUUCGUUGUCAGAGGUGAAAUUCUUGGAUUUACGAAAGACGAACAACUGCGAAAGCACUUGCCAAGAGUGUUUUCAUUAAUCAAGAACGAAAGUUAGAGGAUCGAAGACGAUCAGAUACCGUCCUAGCUCUAACCAUAAACGAUGUCCGACUAGGGAUCAGCGGGCGUUAUCGUACGACCCCGUUGGCACCUUAACGGGAAACCAAAGUUUCUGGAUUCCGGGGGAAGUAUAAGUCGCAAGGCCGAAACUUAAAGGAAUUGACGGAAGGGCACCAACCAGGAGUGGAGCCUGGUGGCUC